rnacentral:rRNA from 1 species
UACGGAGGGGACUAGCGUUGUUCGGAAUUACUGGGCGUAAAGCGCACGUAGGCGGAUUUGUAAGUCAGGGGUGAAAUCCCGGGGCUCAACCUCGGAACUGCCUUUGAUACUGCAAAUCUCGAGUCCGGAAGAGGUGAGUGGAAUUCCUAGUGUAGAGGUGAAAAUUCGUAGAUAUUAGGAAGAACACCAGUGGCGAAGGCGGCUCACUGGUCCGGUACUGACGCUGAGGCACGAAGGCCAGGGGAGCAAACGGG